AACGUCCCAGUUCGGAUUGUAGUCUGCAACCCGACUACAUGAAGCCGGAAUCGCUAGUAAUCGCGGAUCAGAAUGCCGCGGUGAAUACGUUCCCGGGUCUUGUACACACCGCCCGUCACACCAUGGGAGUUGGAAAUGCCCGAAGUCAGUGGCCCAACCGGAAGGGGGGAGCUGCCGAAGGCAGGUUCGAUGACUGGGGUGAAGUCGUAACAAGGUACC
rnacentral:rRNA from 1 species